rnacentral:rRNA from 1 species
UACGGAGGGUGCAAGCGUUAUCCGGAUUCACUGGGUUUAAAGGGUGCGUAGGAGGGCAGGGAAGUCCGUGGUGAAAUCUUAGAGCUUAACUCUAGAACUGCCGUGGAUACUCUCUGUCUUGAAUCCCGUUGGAGAUGAGCGGAAUAUGUCAUGUAGCGGUGAAAUGCUUAGAUAUGACAUAGAACACCAAUUGCGAAGGCAGCUCGUUACACGAAGAUUGACUCUGAGGCACGAAAGCGUGGGGAUCAAACAGG